rnacentral:rRNA from 1 species
GAUGAAGGCCUCUGGGCUGUAAACCUCUUUUCUCAAGGAAGAAGAACUGACGGUACUUGAGGAAUAAGCCACGGCUAAUUCCGUGCCAGCAGCCGCGGUAAUACGGGAGUGGCAAGCGUUAUCCGGAAUUAUUGGGCGUAAAGCGUCCGCAGGCGGUCUUGAAAGUCUGUUGUUAAAGCGUGGAGCUCAACUCCAUUUCAGCAAUGGAAACUAGAAGACUAGAGUGUGGUAGGGGCAGAGGGAAUUCCCGGUGUAGCGGUGAAAUGCGUAGAUAUCGGGAAGAACACCAGUGGCGAAGGCGCUCUGCUGGGCCAUAACUGACGCUCAUGGACGAAAGCCAGGGGAGCGAAAGGGAUUAGAUACCCCUGUAGUCCUGGCCGUAAACGAUGAACACUAGGUGUCGGGGGAAUCGACCCCCUCGGUGUCGUAGCCAACGCGUUAAGUGUUCCGCCUGGGGAGUACGCACGCAAGUGUGAAACUCAAAGGAAUUGACGGGGGCCCGCACAAGCGGUGGAGUAUGUGGUUUAAUUCGAUGCAACGCGAAGAACCUUACCAGGGUUUGACAUCCUGCGAAUCUUUUGGAAACAGAAGAGUGCCUUCGGGAGCGCAGAGACAGGUGGUGCAUGGCUGUCGUCAGCUCGUGUCGUGAGAUGUUGGGUUAAGUCCCGCAACGAGCGCAACCCACGUCUUUAGUUGCCAGCAUUGAGUUGGGCACUCUAGAGAGACCGCCGGUGAUAAACCGGAGGAAGGUGUGGAUGACGUCAAGUCAUCAUGCCCCUUACAUCCUGGGCUACACACGUACUACAAUGCUACGGACAGAGGGCAGCAAACUCGCGAGAGCUAGCAAAUCCCAUAAACCGUGGCUCAGUUCAGAUCGU